rnacentral:rRNA from 1 species
UACGGAGGGUGCAAGCGUUGUUCGGAAUCAUUGGGCGUAAAGCGCGUGUAGGCGGCUUGGUAAGUCGGGUGUGAAAUCCCGGGGCCCAACCCCGGAACUGCAUUCGAAACUGCCUCGCUAGAGUCCCGGAGAGGAAGGCGGAAUUCCCGGUGUAGAGGUGAAAUUCGUAGAUAUCGGGAGGAACACCAGCGGCGAAGGCGGCCUUCUGGACGGUGACUGUCGCUGAGACGCGAAAGCGUGGGGAGCAAACAGG